CCUACGGGAGGCAGCAGUGAGGAAUAUUGGUCAAUGGGCGCGAGCCUGAACCAGCCAAGUAGCGUGAAGGAUGACUGCCCUCCGGGUUGUAAACUUCUUUUAUAAAGGAAUAAAGUGAGGCACGUGUGCCUUUUUGUGUGUACUUUAUGAAUAAGGAUCGGCUAACUCCGUGCCAGAAGCCGCGGUAAUACGGAGGAUCCGAGCGUUAUCCGGAUUUAUUGGGUUGAAAGGGAGCGUAGAUGGGUUGUUAAGUCAGUUGUGAAAGUUUGCGGCUCAACCGUAAAAUUGCAAUUGAUACUGGCAGCUUUGAGGACAGUUGAGGUAGGCGGAAUUCGUGGGGUAGCGGUGAAAUGCUUAGAUAUCAGGAAGAAAUCCGAUGGAGAAGGCAGUUGACUAACCUGACACUGACAUUGAUGCCGGAAAGUGUGGGUAUCAAACAGGAUUAGAUACCCCGGUAGUC
rnacentral:rRNA from 1 species